UUUAUUGGAGAGUUUGAUCCUGGCUCAGGAUGAACGCUGGCGGCGUGCCUAAUACAUGCAAGUCGAGCGAAUGGAUUGAGAGCUUGCUCUCAAGAAGUUAGCGGCGGACGGGUGAGUAACACGUGGGUAACCUGCCCAUAAGACUGGGAUAACUCCGGGAAACCGGGGCUAAUACCGGAUAAUAUUUUGAACUGCAUGGUUCAAAAUUGAAAGGCGGCUUCGGCUGUCACUUAUGGAUGGACCCGCGUCGCAUUAGCUAGUUGGUGAGGUAACGGCUC
rnacentral:rRNA from 1 species